rnacentral:rRNA from 1 species
GACGAACGCUGGGUUGCGUGCCUAACACAUGCAAGUCGAACGUGAUCUCUAUACUUGUAUAGGGUGAAAGUGGCGAACGGGUGAGUAACACGUUGGUGACCUGCCCCGAGGAGCGGGAUAACUCCUUGAAAGAGGAGCUAAUACCGCAGAUGACUGGACUGUUAGAGGGUCCAGCCUAAAGCUCAGGCGUCUCGGGAGGGGCCUGCGGGCUAUCAGCUAGUUGGUGGGGUAAGAGCCUACCAAGGCGAAGACGGCUAGGGGGCGUGAGAGCGUGACCCCCCACAAGGGAACUGAGAAACGGUCCCUACUCCUACGGGAGGCAGCAGUGAGGAAUAUUGAGCAAUGGGCGCAAGCCUGACUCAGCAACGCCGCGUGGAUGAAGAAGGCCUUCGGGUUGUAAAAUCCUUUUCUGAGGGACGAUAAUGACGGUACCUCAGGAAUAAGUUCCGGCUAACUACGUGCCAGCAGCCGCGGUAAAACGUAGGGGACAAGCGUUAUCCGGAUUUACUGGGCGUAAAGCGCCCGUAGGCGGCUUAACAAGUUGGAUGUGAAAGCUCCCGGCUUAACUGGGAGAGGUCAUUCAAAACUGUUAGGCUAGAGGAUGGAAGAGGAGAGCGGAAUUCCCGGUGUAGUGGUGGAAUGCGUAGAGAUCGGGAGGAACACCAGUGGCGAAAGCGGCUCUCUGGUUCACACCUGACGCUGAGGGGCGAAAGCGUGGGGAGCGAACGGGAUUAGAUACCCCGGUAGUCCACGCUGUAAACGAUGGAUACUAGGUGUAGAGGGUCAUUAACCCCCUCUGUGCCGCAGCUAACGCGUUAAGUAUCCCGCCUGGGGAGUACGGCCGCAAGGUUAAAACUCAAAGGAAUUGACGGGGGCCCGCACAAGCAGCGGAGCGUGUGGUUUAAUUCGACGCAACGCGAAGAACCUUACCUGGGCUCGAACGGCUUUGGCAAGCUUUUAGAAAUAGAGGCCCUCCCGCAAGGGACUGAAGUCGAGGUGCUGCAUGGCUGUCGUCAGCUCGUGUCGUGAGAUGUUGGGUUAAGUCCCGCAACGAGCGCAACCCUUGUCCUGUGUUGCAACUAAUAGGCACUCUCAGGAGACCGCCAGCGAUAAGCUGGAGGAAGGUGGGGAUGACGUCAAGUCAUCAUGGCCUUUAUGUCCAGGGCUACACACGUGCUACAAUGGGCGGUACAGACCGUUGCAAACCCGCGAGGGGGAGCAAAUCGGAAAAAACCGUUCUCAGUUCGGAUUGCAGGCUGCAACUCGCCUGCAUGAAGCUGGAAUCGCUAGUAAUGGCAUAUCAGAACGAUGCCGUGAUACGUUCCCGGCCAUGACACACCGCC